ensembl:lncRNA
AACAACAUUACAGUACCAGAGAGAUGAGGUUCUUUAAAACAACAUUACAGUACCAGAGAGAGGUUCUUUAAAACAACAUUACAGUACCAGAGAGAGGAGGUUCUUUAAAACAACAUUACAGUACCAGAGAGAGGAGGUUCUUUAAAACAACAUUACAGUACCAGAGAGAGGAGGUUCUUUAAAACAACAUUACAGUACCAGAGAGAGGAGGUUCUUUAAAACAACAUUACAGGACCAGAGAGAGGAGGUUCUUUAAAACAACAUUACAGGACCAGAGAGAGGAGGUUCUUUUCAACAUCAUAAUACAAUUAGAAGUGAGAACAACUAUGAAACAAGACCUGAUGGUGAGACAGUGGGCUAAAAAUAGGAGGCCAGUGGGUUCGUACAGUCAGGC